rnacentral:rRNA from 1 species
AUUGAACGCUGGCGGCAUGCCUUACACAUGCAAGUCGAACGGCAGCGGGGGAGAAGCUUGCUUUUCCUGCCGGCGAGUGGCGAACGGGUGAGCAAUACAUCGGAACGUGCCCUGUAGUGGGGGAUAACUAUUCGAAAGAUUAGCUAAUACCGCAUACGACCUGAGGGUGAAAGUGGGGGACCGCAAGGCCUCAUGCUCUAGGAGCUGCCGAUGUCUGAUUAGCUAGUUGGUGGGGUAAAGGCCUACCAAGGCGACGAUCAGUAGCUGGUCUGAGAGGACGAUCAGCCACACUGGGACUGAGACACGGCCCAGACUCCUACGGGAGGCAGCAGUGGGGAAUUUUGGACAAUGGGCGAAAGCCUGAUCCAGCAAUGCCGCGUGCGUGAAGAAGGCCUUCGGGUUGUAAAGCACUUUUGUCCGGGAAGAAAUGGCUCUGGUUAAUACCUGGGGUCGAUGACGGUACCGGAAGAAUAAGGACCGGCUAACUACGUGCCAGCAGCCGCCGUAA